GCCACAUAAAAUAAAUUCCUUGAUUCGCAUCACCGCCCGACUGUAUUUUCAGAGCCGUGUGAAAUUUUUUUAUAUUUUGUUAUUUAUAUACAAUAUAAAUGUACCGCCCGACAAAAUAUUUCAAGACAUGCAGUUAAGUUUUUUAUAUCUUAUAUUGGGUUUUUAGUGCCAUUUUAAACUGCCAAUUUCAAACAAACAGAACCUUGAAAGAAAUUUCAUUGCAUUUUAAAGGAACUAUAUAAAAUAUAAACCUCCCGCCUCUUCGACAUUUUCAAAGUGUAGUGAUGAGAAUCAAGGAAUUUAUUUUACGUGCAGGCCUAAUAUUUCGGAACUGAGUCUAGUUCCUUCGAUAUCAGUGUAAUCUAACAGUAAUCGCCGUGAAAUUUGCUGUGUUGGUAUAAUGUACUCAGGUGUAUAAGAUGCUUGUGAUGUUACUCUGAGUGUAUAUCCACACCGGGCAGGCUUGAAAAAUAUGCCUGGCCACGGUGGGAAUGUUGGGUUGUCUAUUUAAUUACUAUUUUUUAUUAACUUCUAAUGUUUACUCCCAGAAUUGCCGCACACAUACAAGACUGUUUGUGUCAAAUGUCACAAAGCUCGUCCUUUGCAUGGAUUCACUCAUUAACACUUUGGCUGCGUCCAGACUGGGUGCCCGGCACUGGUGCCCGGCACUUGUUUUGGCUCCCAGUUUGAACACGACGCUUUCAAAUGAAAUUGGGCACAGUGCCCAAGAACGGGCACUACCUCUAGAGGUAGUAC